GUCAGAGAUCAACACAGUUCUUCUUACACAUCUGAGGAGAAAGAAGAAGAUCUGACAGCCUGACUACAGCUAGCAGCCUGAGUGUUUCCAAGGUCGAGCAGCACGUCUGUGUCAGUGUGUGAACAGAAGCAGCAGAUGGAGUAAUCGGAGGUGUUACGUACCUUGAUGAUGUCGUCAGAAGCCGAGCAGGGAGUUCACUGAAGCAGAUCCACCAAGACAGUCCAAGUUUCAGCUCCUUCUUCUUCUCCUUCUCCUUCUUCUUCUUCUUCUUCUUCUGCGACUUAAAUGCACAAAAUGGUUACCAACAUUUGAGGAACACUAUCACCACCUUCUGCUUCAGAGUGUCUGAAUCCUCUCUGGUUCCUGACCUCAAAACUCACUUUGACUCAACUUCUUCACACUAAAACCUGUUAAUUGUUCUCGGUGUCAGGCUUUUAAUGUGAAGGAUCUGCAGGAAGUGUUUAUUUUGAACAUUCUUACAGGAAAUAAUGAGAGGUUUGGAAGGUAGACAGAGGAAAGCGGCCGUUAUUUUGAAACUUUUUUAAAAAUCGUCGUUUUCUAUAUGGAGUCUGGUUUUCUGUGCGUAGCUACAUUUUUUUUUCUAAAAGUCCAGUUUGUUGCAGCUGUAAAAUAAUAUGUGCUAACUAAUCGAGUCAGAGAGCAGCAGCAGGCUGAGGAGGACGAGGGAGGAGGAGGAGGAGGAGGAGAGCAUCAAGCUUCACUUUUAAACAGCACUCAUACACGUGUUAACAGAUUUAUGUAAAAGGUUAACGUCCUUGUGUUAUUCUGCUCAGGCGCUGCCAUUUCACCCCCUCCUCCUCCUGCUCCACCUCCCUUCUCCUCCUCCUCUUCCCUGGCUGGAAAAAAAGGGGGGAACAGGCGCCCAUUUCCCUGCCACCAUUAUGCUCAUUUGUCCUGUCAAGAGAAUGACAGGCCGCUUGACUCUUCCCCAGAUACGACCAUUAGGUAACGCUCUGUCAUCUGACAGCGAGGCAUUCUGCCGCUCCCUAAAAACCCCCUAAUUAUUUCCUUCGCCAGAGACAGGCGGUGGCGGGUAGGUAAUUUUUAACCUUUCACGUGCACCUGGGGAACCCUCCUCCGGGGAGCCAAGGUGCCUGUGUGGCAUUCAGUCAUCAAAACAUGACCUUUUAUGGCCGUUCGGAGAGCAGUUGGCACCGGGUGCCACGCGCCGGCUAAUGCUAAUGUUGAUGACUAAUUUAUGCAUCAGCCGGCCGCAUCUGCAGCAAGUUUAGGGUAGCAACAAUGUGUGAUGGAGCGGUGCGAGGGGAGGUGGUGGGAGGUGGUGGAGGGGGGGAGGGCAUCUGCACAGAGCAAGCAGAGGUGAAAGGCAUUUUGGGGGAAGGGGUGGGGCUUUGGAGACACCCGGUAGCCUGGCACGACGGGGAAUUGAGGGGGCUAAUUAUGUUGCAGGGAAUACAUUCGGCGUGACCAGCGAGCCUUUUUAGAAUUUGUCGAGCGCAAUCUGACUAACGUGGCUGACCUUUACUUUUUUUUUUUUUCUUUUUUUUUUAGCCCAAAUUGCGGGAGACCAGAGAGCAUGCAAGAUGUGUGCAUACUCUAUGACCUAAUUGUCUUUUUUGUCGCGUGGCUAAACGCCGCGCGGCACCUCUCCCCGUCAGAAAAUGUGCAUUUUAAAAAAGUGUCUUCCAGCCGACGCAGCAGCUAAUGUACAGCGUGUUUACACCCUCGGACGUGGGCGGAGGCGUCGUCAGCCGGCACGGCUUGUUAAAAAGGAGGAUGAAGAGCAUUUCAACACUUUCUUCGUCUCCUCCUCCUCUCGCUGGCGACCUCCGACCCGCUCACCAACACUUUUUACAGACCACUUUGUAGCCAUUAGUAAAAAUAACGUUGGGGUUGCCAGGUCAUGAAAACGCUCUUUUUGCUUAUGUGACUUUUUGUGCUGUGAUCAGUAACUUUAACGUCGAGUCUGCAGUUUUAUUAGAAAGUAAGAAACACUGAGAUGAUGUGACGGGUGGUUAGCUUAGCUUAGCACAAAGACUGGAAACAGAGGGAAACAGUUAGCCUUGCUACCGUCCAGGAGUGUGAAAGCGUCUUGACACUUUGAUUUUUCUACAGAUGAUCUUUAAAGGCGCUUGUAGCAUUUGGACAAAGCCACGCUAGCUGUUCCCCUCUGUUCCCAUUAUUUAUGCUAAGCUAAGCUAAGCUAACCCUUUGCUGGCUGUAGCGCCAUAUUUACAGUUUAAACAUGAGCGCGGUAUCAAAUUAUUUCCCAAAAUGUCAAGAAAUUCCUUUUAAUAGCUUUUAAACUGCCUCCAGUGAUGUCACUCUGUGGCUCAGUUGCAUUGUGGGUAAUGUAGGCAAAUAAUAAAAGAUAUUUCUGGUUCUGCUGUGUUGAUUUGGACCAUUUUUUGAGGGAAACAGUGUCAGACCAGUGGGCUGCCUUUCAAAACCUGGCGCCUACAUUACCCACAAUGCAACGUUCAUGUGUAAAACAAUGAUCACAGCUUUUAAACCACAUUUGCUUUUACUAGAAAAUGAUCUAAAUAUGUCCCUCUCUUAUUUUAAGUGAGCAGGAAUGAUUCAUGUUCCAUUUGUGUGGGUUUAAAGGGACAUUAUGUAAAAAUCUAAACAUGUCGGCGCCGCUCGUGAUCACGUUCGUGUCCGGCAGCGGAGGAUAUGAAGGAGCGAGCGGCUGCUGCCCUGUCAGCCCGGCUGAGAGCGAUGGUGACGGGGGGGUGAUCAUAAAAUAAAAAAAAAAAGGGCGACGUCCUCAGGCUCUGCGGUUAUCUGCCUGUUUAUAAUCUUGACCAAAAAUUCCCGCACGUCCAUAAAUUGUUAUUACGAAGCGUUUGAUGGAGCAGACAAAUGGAGGUGUUGGGACGGCGGCUAAUCGGAUCAGAAGUAAGUGAUGGCGCUAUUCUGCUUGAAAAACACAAUUUGUAUGAAUCAGGCCUCGUCUGCUCGCUGCUUUUUGUAUAUUCACUGUCAGCCGGAGAAAGA